rnacentral:rRNA from 1 species
UCUGAAUCUGCGUACGGCUCCGCAAACCAGUUGUAAACUAUAGCAAGCAGGCUCGGGGUCGGCCUUCACGGGCUGGCCUCGGGUGAUAUGGAUAACCCUGGUAAUUCUGAGGCUAAUACAUGAACGUAGAACCCGGUUGACUAGGCUUCACGGCCCGGGAUGCUGGGGGAUGUGCGAUUGGCAGGCUUGGGUAACACCGGGAAAGGGCGCGCGUCCAGACCGCGCUAUAAAGGAUGGGCUCCUCACGGGGCCUGCCCCAGCGGCUCUUGCUGUGUGCUUCUGACCUAUCAACUAGACUGGCAGCGUAAGGGACAUG